CCUACGGGAGGCAGCAGUGAGGAAUAUUGGUCAAUGGACGCAAGUCUGAACCAGCCAUGCCGCGUGCAGGAAGACGGCUCUAUGCGUUGUAAACUGCUUUUGUACGAGGGUAAACGCAGAUACGCGUAUCUGUCUGAAAGUAUCGUAUGAGUAAGGAUCGGCUAACUCCGUGCCAGCAGCCACGGGAAUACGGAGGAUUCAAGCGUUAUCCGGAUUUAUUGGGUGUAAAGGGUGCGUAGGCGGUCGGAUAAGUUAGAGGUGAAAUCCGGAGGCUCAACUUCGGAAUUGCCUUUGAUACUGUGCGGCUGGAGAGUAGUAGAGGUAGGCGGAAUGUAUGGUGUAGCGGUGAAAUGCUUAGAGAUUAUGCAGAACACCGAUUGCGAAGGCAGCUUACCAGGCUACUACUGACGUUGAGGCACGAAAGCGUGGGGAGCAAACAGGAUUAGAUACCCGAGUAGUC
rnacentral:rRNA from 1 species